AAAGAUCUUUAUCUUUUAGGAAACCGCUUCAAGAUUGUGGUUUUUUUCAGAGCUGCAAAGAUGAAUCUGUUGGCUUUUGCUCAGCUGUCUUUACUAUUUAGUUGGACUUUUGUUCAUUCAAUGAAGAUCCGCCUCAUGACUGGGGCAAAAGAAACCUUCCCCUUAGACAUGGCUGAUGAUUCUGUGGAUGACAUGUACUUUGGCUGCAGCAAAAUGAUGGAAACAAAGAUCAACAACGAAUUCUUUAAGAAAGAACUCAAAACAAAUUUCUCUGAUAUUUGGAGAAAAGCACAAACUUGUGCAGAUAGACCCACAAACAACAAGUUGUUGACUAGGAAUCACAGACAGGCAAUUUGUGUUUACACUUCCGACUACAACAACUUUUACCAAACCUUUAAUUCAGCUGUCAGGACCCAGAGAAAUGCCUAUGGCACCUCUUUCCCCUAUCAUUCCUUACUUUUCUGGCUCACAGAUGCCGUUCAAAUCCUCAACAAAGAAAAGGAGUGUUUGACAACUUACCGUAGAACUAAUCUAGCAUUUAAGGGUAAAGUUGGUCAACUGAUUCGCUUCGGCAAUUUUGCAUCCACUUCUAAACUAACAAACCUGAUCAAAUAUGGUAAAAAUACUUGCUUUCAGAUCAGGACAUGUCUGGGUGCGUAUUUGGAAAAAUUACCGUCAGUUAAAGACCAGGAACAAGAGGUGCUCGUACCUCCAUAUGAGUUGUUUAAUAUAACUGAAAAAGACACCACUGGAAAAAAAAUCUAUGAUUGUGAAACUGUUUAUAAAUUGCAGUAUGCAGGAGUCCACAGCAAUCUUAACUGCUACGCUGCCAAGAACAUUAACCCACCCAGCCAGGCGUAGAGGGGGCCCCCCCGGUGCCGAGAGGCAUAGGCGAACCCGGCGUCUGGGUCCCCAGGCCACAGGACAGGCGCGCUUAGCCGUACCAGGCGGCUGCCAGGGGGGCGACCGGGCGCCGGACACCGAGACAUGGGCCAAGGAUGAAGCCAGGGCCCAGAGGACCCAUGAGCUGCCCCCCACCCAGCCAGAGCCUCGUCUCCACAAGCCGGCCCCAGCACCCGACCCAAGCAACCCAGAGAUCACCGCGCAACCACAGCUCUACCCCCCCACUCCUCUACCCUCUACAACCCUCCUCACCCGCCAUUUGUGUUCUACUACGAAGAGUGUUGCUCAAACUCUGUCCUGGUCUAACAUGUUUCAAAGGUGCCCAAAUCCAGGCCUUGAGGGCCGGUGUCCUGCUGGUUUUCCAGAAACUCUGCCUUAUCUGCUGCUGAUUACCUGGAUCAGGUGUGUUUAGCCAACAAGGAACGUCAAUGGCAGGUUGGUUGUGUUGCGGCACCGUCCGACCUUUGCAGAUUCGGAUGGUUCAGGACAGUCAAAACUGAAAUGUGUAGUUUGGGAAAUGAAAUUCACACAAGUCUGCUUGAAUUUUCAAACCUUUUGCAAAAGGGGAGAGACAGAAAACACGACCAGUGAGGCUUAGUGGUUCUCCACUCUCUCACUCUCUCAAGCAGAAAGGCUUUUUUUAAUUAUCCAGCAAGGCAAAAUGUAAAAAUGCAUAAUACCUCAUUAGACUCUGUCUCUGUACAUACAAGCACAUCUAGUCUGCAAUGGGCAGGAGUCUCUGUACCAUAAACGUCCAGCACAAAAAGAGAACAUCGACCAGAAGUCGCAGACAGCCCUACUGCUGACUGGGCAAAUCUUAUCUGUUACAGCAGGCAGGAAAAAGCAUAUUUCCCAAUACAAUAUUCAUAUUCAUAUAGAAUCACGUAAAUGCAUAAUCAAAAGAGCAUAAAAAUAUCAUGGAACCCCUGUUCACCUCCACACUAGGACUCGUCCACCACCAACAAUUGGUAGCGGCUUACAGUGAAAUGCUCACUGGAAAUGAAUGAUGUGACACUUUUCACAGGGUUGGUGUGAAAAGGAAAAUGCAAUUUUCACUUUAAUUAUGUCACAAAAGAAGCGGUGUUGAAGAAGAAAAUGAAAAAGCAUUUUGGAGGAUUGAUUAGUUUUUGUGUUAAUAAAUCUGGAAACUUAAUAAAAAGGGAAAAAAGAAAAGACUAUACGGUUUAGGAAUAAUAAUAAUGUUUUUUAGAUCUUUUAGAAAAUAUUUUAAGUAUUUAUUUCAUUUUAACUUUUUUUAUUGUGUGUUUUUCUGUGUGAUGGAUAAAUGACAACCAAAUAUGUCCUGAUGAGGAUAAAUAUCCAUCCAUCCAUCCAUCCAUCCAUCCAUCCAUCCAUCCAUCCAUCCAUCCAUCCAUCCAUCCAUCCUUCAGUCUGAAGAGGAUGAUGUCAUUUGACACCAACAUGGACUUUUACUUGAAUCUUCAGUCAAAUGAAGAACUUCAAAGCUUCUGAGAAUGUCUUUGUGUUUGAAAGAAUGAAGGAUGCCUUCAUUUUUAUUUCAAUCAUAAGAUUCUAAAACUUACAAUAAGUUGCAUUUUGGUCUGUGUACGCCCUCUAGUGGAGGACCUAAGAAAUUACACAUCGUGGCAGAUUCUUCAUUGUCAUAAAAAGUCACAUUUAGAGUGUAUUCAGACUGGACACAUUUGGUUCACGUAAAGCAGUGCUUCUCAAAAAUUUUUUGCAAAGCCCCCUCUUGGAAAAAGAAACUGCCCCCCCCCACUCGUUGCGGUGACUAUAAUUAAGAUCAUUAAUGUGUGUUCGAGCAGAGCUCGGACUUCCAGCUCACACAGCGGCUUUGGGGCGGUAUGUGAACUUUUCAAAGCAGAAAUGCUGCUCAC